rnacentral:rRNA from 1 species
UUAGAGAACCCUGGUUAAGGAACUCGGCAAAUUGACACCGUAACUUCGGGAGAAGGUGUGCCGCUGGCGGUUAGUGACUUCGCGUCACGAAGCUGUUGGUGGUCGCAGUGAAAUGGCGGUUGUGACUGUUUACUAAAAACACAGGACUCUGCGAAGUCGUAAGACGACGUAUAGGGUCUGAUGCCUGCCCGGUGCUGGAAGGUUAAGGGGAUAUGUCAGCGCAAGCGAAGCAUUGAACCGAAGCCCCAGUAAACGGCGGCCGUAACGAUAACGGUCCUAAGGUAGCGAAAUUCCUUGUCGGGUAAGUUCCGACCUGCACGAAGGGCAUAACAACAUCCGCACUGUCUCGACCAGGGACUCAGCGAAAUUACAUUGGGGGUGAAGAUGCCCUCUACCCGCGGAAAGACGGAAAGACCCCAUGAACCUUUACUGCAACUUGGCAGUGAUUUUCGGGUUGUUCUGCGUAGGAUAGGUGGGAGGCUUUGAAGCCGGGCUUCCGGGUUCGGCAGAGCCAACGUUGAAAUACCACCCUGAAUAAUCUGGAAAUCUAACCUGCGCCCAUGAUCUGGGCGAGGGACACUGCCUGGUGGGCAGUUUGACUGGGGCGGUCGCCUCCUAAAUUGUAACGGAGGCGUGCGACGGUUCCCUCAGGCUGAUUGGAAACCAGCCGUAGAGUGCAAACGCAUAAGGGAGCUUUACUGCGAGACUGACAAGUCGACCAGUUGCGAAAGCAGGUGUUAGUGAUCCGGUGGUACCACAUGGAAGGGCCAUCGCUCAUCGGAUAAAAGGUACUCUGGGGAUAACAGGCUGAUCGCGCCUGAGAGUUCACAUCGGCGGCGCGGUUUGGCACCUCGAUGUCGGCUCAUCGCAUCCUGGGGCUGGAGCAGGUCCCAAGGGUUUGGCUGUUCGCCAAUUAAAGCGGUACGCGAGCUGGGUUUAAAACGUCGUGAGACAGUUUGGUCCCUAUCUUCCGUGGGCGCAGGACACUUGAGAGGAGCUAUCCAUAGUACGAGAGGACCUGGAUGGACGAACCUCUGGUGCUCCGGUUGUCACGCCAGUGGCAUAGCCGGGUAGCCAUGUUCGGAACAGAUAACCGCUGAAGGCAUAUAAGCGGGAAGCUGGCCUCAAGACUAGGUGUCCCUGACGCAAGUCACUAAAGGCCCCUCGAGGACUACGAGGUUGAUAGGCUCGGUGUGGAAGCGCUGCGAGGCGCGGAGCUAACGAGUACUAAUAGGCCGUGAGGCUUGACCUC